CUCUUGCCAAUGAGCUGCACAUUAUCCCCAGCAGACAAAGCAUUUGGCACUGUAGGCUCCUUCCGACUGGUCUCAGGCGCUCGCUUGGAAUGGAAGAGGCUGAAUACUACAUCUCCUUUCAGGAUAUCGAAGUCCCAGAGUGCCUUUGCCAGAGGGGCUUACCUUGCCUUUGUGCGUUUCUUGCAGCCACUGACGGAGCCUGAUCAGGCAGCUUUCCUGCAUGGGAGUCAACUGUCCUAGGAUACUGAGACAUAAAGUCUUGCGCCAUUUCAUGUUAUAACUACUCAGAAUUCAAGGAGCUGAAAGUUAUGCUAGAAUAUACCAAGAAUUAGGAGCAAUGAGCAACAGGGGAAGAACCCAAGAUCACCUGCAUGGACUGUGCCACAAUGCUGGGCUCCCUGGACUAUCUCUCUGGCCAGAAGUAGAUGUCAUAGAGGGAAGGAAAUUAUUUCCAUCAAAUGUACUGACUAGCUGUAAGGCAGAAGGGAGGGCACAAUUCACAAUACAACUAAAGGCAAAAGAUUCUUCUUGUGCGUUCCUUAGAAUAUUCUCCUUUAGCCAAGUUCCAAGAUGGGGAAAAAGUCUUCCUGAUAGAAAAAUAAUAUGGAGGGGGAAGUGACAGAUGCAAAGAUUCAGAAUUACAUCUGACCCACCAUCUCUCAACUUGACACCACCAACCCAGCUUUACAGCUGUCUGGCAAUGACCUACAUUUGAAGACACAGGUCUGCUACCUUCAUGUCUCAUUCUCCGCUCAGGCAACACCUGAGACAGAACUAAAGUGACAGUAGAAUAAAGUGCUUUAGAGCGGCCACACGCAACACCAGGGCUCUAGGGACACAGUGAAAUUUAAGAGACCUGAGGAUUUUAAUCACAAAGGUCACGAAAGCAGCAAUAUUUCCAAGCUUCUCAGCUUUCAAGAAGCUGCACUCUUGAAUAGCCUCCAAUAAAGCAGGUAAGUAACACAAUCUGGGCUUUUGUUUACCACGCAGAAAAGGGUAUUACAUUGCUUCCAGAGAUGGACACAGCUACUCUUAAAUGUCAC